CCCCUUUUAAGAACUGAAAAGUCACAAUGAGGUCUCCCUGUAGUUUUCUCCAGGCUGAACAACCCCAGCUUUCUCAGCCUUUCCUCAUAGGAGAAGUGUUUCAUUCAAGGUUUACUGUGGUUUUACUUGGGUUCUUUUUCAACAGUUUUUGGUAAGUCUCUAUUAGCAUGCUUCCUUGCCUCAACAAGAGAUGGUUGUGACAGUGGUUUUGUAUAGACAGGACAUGCAACUUCACCAGGAAUCUUCUACCUACUGGAUAAAGAGCAUUUAGCAUACAGUCUUGCCACACAUCAUUGAGAAAGGCUGCGUUUCUCUGUAACUGCAGAGCUAGCAUUUAACCUGGAUCCAUCACUGAAAUUAUACAUGAUGCUGUAGAAGAUUACAAUGCUGAUGGUAUUGCUUGGUGGAGGACCUUCACAGAGUUUUUCAUGCCCUUUUUAGAGACAUAAUUCAGCAUUUGGGAGAAUGCAAUUUGUGUUAAACCUAGCUGGUUACGUCAGGCCACAAAAACUGGAAGCUCUUGUGACUUUGCUGUCAAGAGAAAUUGGUUCUGAGCUAGCUGCAAAGAUACUCAUUUACUUACUCUUGUAAAUUUAAUUGAACAUUUCCAGAAGGAAAUUGGACACUGGAGUUGGCCCUGCUACCCAGUAGGUAGUGUAAGGGAGUUAUUUUUCAUUGUUUCUCUUAAUACAAAGUCUUGAGGAAAGCAGACACAUCUAAGUGGCCAGGCCCAAACAAACAAAAGGAAUUGGGUGGUUGUUUUUUUUUCCCUAGUUUCAUAAGAUUCUGCUCUUGACACAGGUAGUCCUUUUGUCCUAACGUUAUAGCCUAGCAUUGGUGGUUUGGGUUAGAGUCAGAAUUUUGAAUGUCUGUGUUAAAACUGAGGGAGUGAUGGGUAUCGUCAGCAGUUUCAGAGCAUGGUACAGCUCUCAAAGUUUCUUGCAAAUGGGUGGCAUGGUGAAAAAAGAACCUGAUCAGAUCCUGCAUUGAGAGAGAGUGUAGCAGAACUCUGCUCUUUUACUUGCCUCUUUGUAGCAGCCAGAUGGCCAUUCAUUACAUACAUACAUCCUCAGGCACUGGUCACAAGUUUACCCACCAGUUACUGUUUAUGGUAAAUAUAACUGGGGGUUCACUGGAGACAUGGGUCAAAAGGUUGACAUUGAGGAAAUGAAUUAUUCUGGUUGCAGGGGUAAAAGGACCAGGAAAUAAUUCACUGGCAAAACAGUAUUAUUUGUCAAUCUUGUUAUUUUUAAAAGCUUGUUUCAGCCAAAGCAAGUAUAGAUUUUCAGUGAAUAGGUGAAGUGUUUCUGGGUGCCUUAAAAAAUGAAAAAUAAAAUAAUUUCUCCCAUCUCCACAUAUCACCCAGAUAGCAAUGUGCAGAAUAAAGACAGUCAAUUUGUGAGAGUGGUUUCUGGGAAUCAAGUGGCUCAGAUUACUGAACGGGGGAAAACGUGUAUGAAAUUGAGCAGUCUCUGUUUUUGCAAGACUUUUUUGAAGAGUUUUUAAUUCUUCAAUAGAAGGCUCUUAGUGGCGGGAGCUUAAAGAAACAAUAUAUUGCAGAUACAGUAACAUAUUCUGAAAAAAUACAUUUCUGUCGUAUCCGGCAGAAGAUGGGCUGAUAAAUCUAAACCAUUAAUUCAGCUGUACACUGACUGAAGUCUCUUACAGUAUCUAGGAGGUCAACAUAUAAUAUAUGAACAAGUCUUGGAGGGUUUGUCCAAGUUGAAAGAUCUGUUAAAUUGAUCUAAAAUCUGAUAUAUCCUUUGCAAAACUAAAUUAUUAUGAAGGACAAUUCUUUACUUUGCAGACAGUUUGAUAAUAUUGUAUGUAAAAAUACAAUAUUGCUACCUUGCUACCACUAGCAGCUCAAAGGAUGUAUGUUCUUGUAGCUAAAAGCCUGAGCUGGAGCACAGAAGGCCACAAUUAACUAUUCAGUGUGACUGUAGACAAGCCCCUUAAUCUCUGGGAAACAUUUGACAGUUGAUCAAGUAUUUCACUUUCCUGUCUUGUCUACAGAGAUUUACACACUUCAGCAGUGUUAUGGGGUCACUGAGUCUUUCAAGCGCUUUGUGGAUGAAGUGAUAGUAAGGCAGCAUACUCCAUUGCAGAGGCUUAUUUAUGCUAUGAAAAAGUAUAACAAUGUAUCUUACAUUUCAGGUGACGAUGGUGUUGAUGCAAUACAUGUUCAGCAAAGCUUGACUGAACCAACACUGAAUAUCCAGAUAUUUCCACAUUUGGAGAGAAACAAGAUGUUUGGGACCCACGUCUCUACUUUGGAGUGGUACCAAAGAGAUCAGAUCACAUUAUCUGUAGUUUAAGCGGGGAUUUCAGUGACAGCUGAAGAUCUUAACAAGAAGAAGCCUUCACUUGAAUGAAAUCCCCUCCGAGUGGAGAUCAUGAGAAGAGGUGAUGCCUCUCUCCGGUAUUUUCAGUCCUAAUAUACCAGGUGUUUGAGGAAAAAAAACGUGUAGAAUAAGCCACAUAUCUUUUCUGCUAAUGAGGCACUGCAUUAGUGAGAGUCUAGUUGUGUUUUCUGUUUGUAGGCCAGAGUCAAGCAGGUGCUUUGUCAAAGAGAAUAGAGAGAUUGGAUUGAAUUUUACAGUGAAAGCUAUGCAAUGCACCCGCCAGUGUCUGCCUGUGCCGUCAGUGCCCUCUGCUGGCUGGAGCGUCAGGAACUCCUUAGUAUCUAUAUUGGUUUUCGUCAUGCUCCAGUGAGAGAAGAGGUGAAAAAGGAUUUCUGUAAGGAUUGUUACACUGGUUCAGUGGGCCACAUUCAAGAUUUUAACUUAAGAACUCUGUGGUUUGGAUACCUAAAUUUGGUAUAUGCAGCACGUACUGAAACUGCAUAGGAUUUCAAGACAGGCUGAG